rnacentral:rRNA from 1 species
UACGUAGGGGGCAAGCGUUGUCCGGAUUCAUUGGGCGUAAAGAGCGUGUAGGCGGCCAGGUAGGUCGGUCGUGAAAACUGGAGGCUCAACCUUCAGAGGUCGACCGAAACCAUCUGGCUAGAGUCCGGGAGAGGAGAGUGGAAUUCCUGGUGUAGCGGUGAAAUGCGCAGAUAUCAGGAAGAACACCCGUGGCGAAAGCGGCUCUCUGGAACGGUACUGACGCUGAGACGCGAAAGCGUGGGGAGCGAACAGG